ensembl:snRNA U2 U2 spliceosomal RNA
UUUGCUUCUUGGCUUGGCUAAAAUCAAGUAUCUGUUCUUAUCAGUUUAAUAUCUGAUACUUCCCUAAUCUGGGCACUGUGUAUUAAAUGGAGUGUUGGAACUGAAACCUUUAUUUAAGUCAUUGAUAUUACUCAUGUUUUCAUUUAUACUUUAUAACAUAUUUUUAAAGAAAGGCUGGUAGGUAACCAUU